rfam:Myotis lucifugus cont2.28383, whole genome shotgun sequence.
ACAGGAAAAUGACCUAUGAAUUGACAGACAGUGUGGCUAAGUGUGUCUGUCAUUUCUGUAGGCCAAUAUUCUGU